CUACCAGAGUACUAUGAAUGAUUAAAAAUUUAAAACUCAAAGAACUUGGCGGUGUUUUAGACCAUUUAGGGGAACUUGUCUCGUAAUCGACAGUCCACGUUGUACCUGACCUUUUUUCGUUUUCAGUUUGUAUACCGUUGUCGUCAGGUAACUUUUUAGAAGGCAGAAGUUGGCUAUGGAAAUAUAAUGAUUUAGUACGUCAAAUCAAGGUGCAGCUAAUAAAAAGGGGAGGAUGAGUUACAGUUAUAUAGUUAUAAUUACGGAUACCCAUAUGAAAGUGUGGGUAAUGAAGGAGGACUUGAAAGUAAAUUGAUUUAUAGAAGCAGUUUGAAUAAGGCUCUGAAACGUGU
rnacentral:rRNA from 1 species